AGAGUUUGAUCCUGGCUCAGAACGAACGCUGGCGGCAGGCUUAACACAUGGAAGUCGAACGCCCCGCAAGGGGAGUGGCAGACGGGUGAGUAACGCGUGGGAAUCUACCGUACCCUACGGAAUAACGCAUGGAAACGUGUGCUAAUACCGUAUACGCCCUUCGGGGGAAAGAUUUAUCGGGGUAUGAUGAGCCCGCGUUGGAUUAGCUAGUUGGUGGGGUAAAGGCCUACCAAGGCGACGAUCCAUAGCUGGUCUGAGAGGAUGAUCAGCCACAUUGGGACUGAGACACGGCCCAAACUCCUACGGGAGGCAGCAGUGGGGAAUAUUGGACAAUGGGCGCAAGCCUGAUCCAGCCAUGCCGCGUGAGUGAUGAAGGUCUUAGGAUUGUAAAGCUCUUUCACCGAUGAAGAUAAUGACGGUAGUCGGAGAAGAAGCCCCGGCUAACUUCGUGCCAGCAGCCGCGGUAAUACGAAGGGGGCUAGCGUUGUUCGGAAUUACUGGGCGUAAAGCGCACGUAGGCGGAUAUUUAAGUCAGGGGUGAAAUCACGCAGCUCAACUGCGGAACUGCCUUUGAUACUGGGUAUCUCGAGUAUGGAAGAGGUGAGUGGAAUUCCGAGUGUAGAGGUGAAAUUCGUAGAUAUUCGGAGGAA
rnacentral:rRNA from 1 species